AUUGAGAACUUCUAUAAAACUAUAGAACCUUUUAUGCUAAAACUAGUAACAAGAGAUUAACUCUCUAUAAUGCAAACAAACGCCAGCAAGGACACACCACUGGCAAAUAACAGAUCUAAACAAAAGUAGUAACAACCCCAGAAAACCCUACUCCCACGACUGUUAACCUUACACCAGAGCAUUUCAAGAAAGAUUAAAAAAAAAAGAAGGAACUCGGCAAACAUUAGCCCCGCCUGUUUACCAAAAACAUCGCCUCUUGUCCUCAUAAGAGGUCCAGCCUGCCCAGUGACUCUUGUUUAACGGCCGCGGUACCCUAACCGUGCGAAGGUAGCGUAAUCACUUGUUUUCUAAAUAAAGACCAGUAUGAAAGGCAUCACGAGGGCUAAACUGUCUCCUUUUUUAAAUCAGUGAACCUAAUCUCCCCGUGAAGAAGCGGGGAUUUACGUAUAAGACGAGAAGACCCUAUGGAGCUUAAAACAUAAUGACACCUGCUACCCAUUAUUAUAUACUCAGGCUAUAACCCUAAAUACAGGAUGAUCAUAUGUUUUUGGUUUGGGGUGACCGCGGAGAAAAACUUAUCCUCCGCAAUGAAAGGGCUUUCCCCAAACAACAAGUCACAACUUUAUGUAUCAACAAAUUGACAUACUUUGACCCAAUAUAUUGAUUAACGAACCAAGUUACCCUAGGGAUAACAGCGCAAUCCACUUUAAGAGCCCCUAUCGACAAGUGGGCUUACGACCUCGAUGUUGGAUCAGGGUAUCCCAGUGGUGCAGCCGCUACUAAAGGUUCGUUUGUUCAACGAUUAAAACCCU
rnacentral:rRNA from 1 species